rnacentral:SRP_RNA from 1 species
CCGUGCUACAUGGGGAGGUAGCGGUGCCCUGUACCUGCAAUCCGCUAUAGCAGGGUGGAAUUCCUGUCCCCGGCAGUAUUUCUUAAGGUCUGACCGCCGCAAGUGGCGUUGAAGACCGGGUCUUACGCAACGUGAACCCGUGAACCCCGUCAGGUCCGGAAGGAAGCAGCGGUAAGCGGGCCUCCGCGUGUGCCGUGAGGGUGCCUGGUCCGAGUUAACUGCUCCGGUAACGCUUGGGGAAUAACUGUCAAAGACAGGUGCACGG